rnacentral:rRNA from 1 species
UACGUAGGGACCAAGCGUUGUUCGGAUUUACUGGGCGUAAAGGACGCGUAGGCGGUAUGACAAGUCACUUGUGAAAUCUCCGGGCUUAACUCGGAACGGCCAAGUGAAACUGUCAAACUAGAGUGCGGAAGGGGCAAUCGGAAUUCUUGGUGUAGCGGUGAAAUGCGUAGAUAUCAAGAGGAACACCUGAGGUGAAGACGGGUUGCUGGGCCGACACUGACGCUGAUGCGCGAAAGCCAGGGGAGCAAACGGG